rnacentral:rRNA from 1 species
CGCCGGCGACCGGCGCACGGGUGAGUAACACGUAUGCAACCUGGCCGUGACAGAUGGAUAACCGGGAGAAAUCCCGCCUAAUACAACAUAAUGCCGGGAGGGGACAUCCCCUGCCGGCCAAAGGGGCGACCCCGGUCGCGGAUGGGCAUGCGGCGCAUUAGGUAGUUGGUGGGGCAACGGCCCACCAAGCCGACGAUGCGUAGGGGUUCUGAGAGGAAGGUCCCCCACAUUGGAACUGAGACACGGUCCAAACUCCUACGGGAGGCAGCAG